rnacentral:rRNA from 1 species
GACAGAGGGUGCAAACGUUGUUCGGAUUUACUGGGCGUAAAGCGCAUGUAGGCGGAGAGAUGUGUCGGGUGUGAAAUCCCUGGGCUCAACCUAGGAACUGCAUCCGAAACUGUCUUUCUAGAGUAGUGGAGAGGAAAGCGGAAUUCCGGGUGUAGAGGUGAAAUUCGUAGAUAUCCGGAGGAACACCAGUGGCGAAGGCGGCUUUCUGGACACUAACUGACGCUGAGAUGCGAAAGCGUGGGGAGCAAACAGG